rnacentral:rRNA from 1 species
UCAAGUUAGUGGCGCACGGGUGAGUAACGCGUAGAUAAUCUGCCUGAUGAUCUGGGAUAACACUUCGAAAGGGGUGCUAAUACCGGAUAAGCCCACGUGGUCUUUGGAUCGUGCGGGAAAAGGGGGGGACCUUCGGGCCUUCUGUCAUCAGAUGAGUCUGCGUACCAUUAGCUAGUUGGUAGGGUAAAGGCCUACCAAGGCUACGAUGGUUAGCUGGUCAGAGGAUGAUCAGCCACACUGGAACUGAGACACGGUCCAGACUCCUACGGGAGGCAGCAGUGGGGAAUUUUGCGCAAUGGGCGAAAUCCUGACGCAGCAACGCCGCGUGAGUGAUGAAGGCUUUCGGGUCGUAAAGCUCUGUCGAGGGGAAAGAAGUGUAUUGUGGCUAAUAUCCACGAUACUUGACGGUACCCCUAAAGGAAGCACCGGCUAACUCCGUGCCAGCAGCCGCGGUAAUACGGGGGGUGCAAGCGUUGUUCGGAAUUAUUGGGCGUAAAGAGCGUGUAGGCGGUUUGUUUAGUCUGAUGUGAAAGCCCUGGGCUCAACCCAGGAAGUGCAUUGGAUACUGGCAGACUUGAAUACGGGAGAGGGUAGUGGAAUUCCUAGUGUAGGAGUGAAAUCCGUAGAUAUUAGGAGGAACACCGGUGGCGAAGGCGGCUGCCUGGACCGAUAUUGACGCUGAGACGCGAAAGCGUGGGUAGCAAACAGGAUUAGAUACCCUGGUAGUCCACGCCGUAAACGAUGAGAACUAGGUGUUGCGGGUAUUGACCCCUGCAGUGCCGCAGCUAACGCAUUAAGUUCUCCGCCUGGGAAGUACGGUCGCAAGAC